UGCCAUAUAGCAUAAUGGUAGUGCGCACGCCCCGCGACAUACGGCGGCGUUGAGGUGGCGGUUCGACCCCGUCUAUGGCAA
rnacentral:tRNA from 1 species